rnacentral:misc_RNA from 1 species
AGAAAAAUUCAAAAAUAACAUUCAUCAAAAAUUGAGAAACUUGAAACAAACAUUGAGCAUCAUGGAUUCAUCAAACCUUACAUCACUUCCAGAAGAAGGCUCAGAAGAAACCCAUCACCCUUCUGCCUUUUCUUCUGCUCCUACUCGCCCUCCCAUUCAGACUUCUUCACAGAAAUAUGCACCUUUAGACUGGUCACAUUAUUUUGAUCAAGAGGAUGACAUUCAGAUCCCAGAUUCAGAUGAUGUAUUUCAUGUUUAUAUGGCAGGGACAGAAGGGCCUGUUAUUUUUUGCCUGCAUGGUGGUGGUUAU